CUUGCUCUGGUGGAUUAGUGGCGAACGGGUGAGUAACACGUGAGCAACCUGCCCUGGACUCUGGGAUAAGCGCUGGAAACGGCGUCUAAUACUGGAUACGAGACGUGGCCGCAUGGUCAACGUUUGGAAAGAUUUUUCGGUCUGGGAUGGGCUCGCGGCCUAUCAGCUUGUUGGUGAGGUAAUGGCUCACCAAGGCGUCGACGGGUAGCCGGCCUGAGAGGGUGACCGGCCACACUGGGACUGAGACACGGCCCAGACUCCUACGGGAGGCAGCAGUGGGGAAUAUUGCACAAUGGGCGGAAGCCUGAUGCAGCAACGCCGCGUGAGGGAUGACGGCCUUCGGGUUGUAAACCUCUUUUAGCAGGGAAGAAGCGUGAGUGACGGUACCUGCAGAAAAAGCGCCGGCUAACUACGUGCCAGCAGCCGCGGUAAUACGUAGGGCGCAAGCGUUAUCCGGAAUUAUUGGGCGUAAAGAGCUCGUAGGCGGUUUGUCGCGUCUGCUGUGAAAUCCCGAGGCUCAACCUCGGGCCUGCAGUGGGUACGGGCAGACUAGAGUGCGGUAGGGGAGAUUGGAAUUCCUGGUGUAGCGGUGGAAUGCGCAGAUAUCAGGAGGAACACCGAUGGCGAAGGCAGAUCUCUGGGCCGUAACUGACGCUGAGGAGCGAAAGGGUGGGGAGCAAACAGGCUUAGAUACCCUGGUAGUCCACCCCGUAAACGUUGGGAACUAGUUGUGGGGUCCUUUCCACGGAUUCCGUGACGCAGCUAACGCAUUAAGUUCCCCGCCUGGGGAGUACGGCCGCAAGGCUAAAACUCAAAGGAAUUGACGGGGACCCGCACAAGCGGCGGAGCAUGCGGAUUAAUUCGAUGCAACGCGAAGAACCUUACCAAGGCU
rnacentral:rRNA from 1 species